GUUAGAGCCCAGGCUUCUAUGUUUGAAAGAUUCCUGCUGAGCUGGAAGUGUCUUCUUCCUGGCUCUCUCUCCUGAGUGGGGAUUAUUUUAUGACUCCCUGGGCUUGAAGUCUCUUCUUCUUGGCUCUCUGUGAGGCCUCUGUUUUCUCUAUUGGAUUCCGCUGCUCUUGUGGGAACUUCUCAGUUCGCUGAAACCCCCUUCUUGGACCUCUGCUGACUGCUCCAUGGUGCAUCGCUUGAUUAAUUUUGAGACCAUGCUGCUUGCCUAAGAAUUUCCAGAGUGAAUGGAGAAGCUGAUUCAUAAAACUGCUAACCCGAGAUCAAGCAGAGCAAGAAUUAGUUCAUGGGACUGAAUCAACUAAUGAGGAUGAUUAUAACUUUUUUAAAUCACUUUUUGUUUAAAACUUUGCUGGCUUUUUAAUAUUUUAUUUUCCAGAUUUAAGGAAACCUUUUUCUCUUUUCUUUUAAGCUUUCUAUGACUUACAGCAAUUUGGUAAAUUAUACCUUUGUGAACAGAACUGAAGCAUUUGUCUUUUCUCCCUACCUGAUCCCUCCAGAAUUUGGAAACGCUUAGUCUUCUUAUUUUCAUGGAAAUAUAGUUAUUUGAACAAGCUCAACAAGAAUCUGUUCUCCUUAUAACAAGACACAAUUGGAAGCACUGGUUAUAUUACCAAGGGUUUGAGUGGAACGUCAUAUUUGAGAAUGGUGUGCAUCAAGUCAGGUAUGACCAGACAGCUUAAAGGAACUAGAGUUGACUUUAAGGAGCCAGUGCUUAGAAAGGCCCCCUUGGAAAAGGCAGCCUGUAUCUGAUUUACAGUGUUCCCCAUCUUACAGGUGAGUAAAGAAGGUCACUUCCUGGCAGGACUAGGAACCACAGGAUAUUGUGGGGACGUUGAAAAGAGAGGAAUUCACCCAAAUGAGUACAUAUUGCAGGCAAAAUAUGGUAGUGAAUUCUUGGCUUGGCUUCCCAGCCUUGAGAGGUUUUAACAAGUCCAAUCUGGGAUUCCUUAUGAAAAGUUCCAGCAAAGCAAACUCGAAAAAAGACCUCUGCAAGCUCUUGUUGCACUUAUGUAAAUAAUCAGGCCAAGCUUAAUGAGACCAGACUUUCUUCACAAACAAAUUAGUCUUAUUUUGAUUAUCUUUGAAAUCAAGAAAUGGGGUGACUAAUAGAAAGAAUUUGUUUUUUUGUUUCAAUGGAAAACUAUAGUGCACCCUUGUGGGUUCUGUCUUGCACAUUUUGCCAAUCCUUACUAAAUCCUGAAUUCUUCUAGUUUCCUCCAAUAUCUGGUUACAACUCCCCAGAUUAAUGUUUCUCAUUUGUUUCCCUUCCGAUUUGGAACUAAAACUACCCUUUCCCCGAAUCUCUGCAAGCAGAAGCUGGACGACUUGAUAUAAACUUAAAAAAAAUGAUGACAACAGAUCACGUAUGGGCAAUCUUCAUGCCUUCUGCUGCAUGGACCAUUCAGAAAGUUCACUGGAGCACCUGAUGCCAUCACCAGAGGCAUUCAAACUGCAGAUGGGGGACAUUCAUUGGAUGGCCGCUGCCAUCCUCAUUCCAUCUUCUACAGAUGCUUCAAGCUCAAGUCUAAAAAUCUUGACUGGCUGCCCUCUGGACUCAGCAACUGGGUUUAUAACUAUUAAUCUUUGUUUUUCUUUUAUUUUCAUAGAAACUGCUUUCAUUAAAUGCCUGAUUGCUGGCACCGUCUAGC
ensembl:lncRNA